GACGAACCGUGCAAACGUUGUUCGGAAUCACUGGGCUUAAAGGGCGCGUAGGCGGGUUGGACAGUCUAUGGUGAAAUCCCCCGGCUUAACCUGGGAACUGCGUCUGAUACUGGACGGCUUGAGUAUGGGAGAGGAACGUAGAAUUCCAGGUGUAGCGGUGAAAUGCGUAGAUAUCUGGAGGAAUACCGGUGGCGAAGGCGGCGUUCUGGACCAUUACUGACACUGAAUCGCGAAAGCUAGGGGAGCAAACGGG
rnacentral:rRNA from 1 species